rnacentral:misc_RNA from 1 species
CGAAAACUGAUCUCAAGCAGCGGUUAGAUCAAAAUCUCAAUGAUCUGAUAGUUCCUAUAAGAAGACACAUGGGUCAGCUCUCACGAGGGUGUAGGAUUUCAAUCUGGCUACUCGCAUACAUUGCAGUUGUAACAACCUGGCCGCUGGUUGGUUCAGCUCUUCUUUUGUUCAUCAACAGAAAGUUCAAAAACAUCAUUCCGGGGUCAUUGCUUAGAAGAUAGCAUACGUCGAACUAUAAAAAUUAUUGUCAUUCUUGCUGGGU